GCAGGCGUACCAAAGCGGUCAAAUGGACUAGGUUUAGGACCUAGUGGCUUAGUGCCUUCGGAGGUUCGAAUCCUCCCGCCUGCA
rnacentral:tRNA from 1 species